rnacentral:rRNA from 1 species
AACGAACGCUGGCGGCAUGCCUAACACAUGCAAGUCGAACGAGACCUUCGGGUCUAGUGGCGCACGGGUGCGUAACGCGUGGGAACCUGCCCUUAGGUUCGGAAUACCUCUCCGAAAGGGGUGCUAAUACCGGAUAAUGUCUUCGGACCAAAGAUUUAUCGCCCUUGGAUGGGCCCGCGUUGGAUUAGCUAGUUGGUAGGGUAAAAGCCUACCAAGGCGACGAUCCAUAGCUGGUCUGAGAGGAUGAUCAGCCACACUGGGACUGAGACACGGCCCAGACUCCUACGGGAGGCAGCAGUGGGGAAUAUUGGACAAUGGGCGAAAGCCUGAUCCAGCAAUGCCGCGUGAGUGAUGAAGGCCUUAGGGUUGUAAAGCUCUUUUACCCGGGAUGAUAAUGACAGUACCGGGAGAAUAAGCUCCGGCUAACUCCGUG